rnacentral:tRNA from 1 species
AGUGAUGUGGCUCAGAGGUAGAGCGCUUGCCUAGCACGUGCAAGGCCCUGGGUUCCAUCUCCAGCAUCACAU